rnacentral:siRNA from 1 species
UAGAAUCUUCAGACCAUCGUACUC